CCUGUAAACUUGCCUUCAUGGCAUUAAAUGUGGCUAUGACUGUUAGGGUAGGAUAUCUGUUGCCUGAUCUGUAUAAUAACUAAAAUUCAAUUCCAUUUUUUUUUUAUUUAAUUGAAUUUACUUGGCACUCUAUGUUAUAUAUAUUUUUAUUUUCAAAUUUGGCUUCGUGUACAUACAACCGUUCAAGUGUCAUGUAGGUGCCUAUUAAAGAAAAAAAAAAAAAAGGAACCCUCCCAUUGUUGCUGGUCGUGCUGCCCCACCACACCGGUCGCGCACGCGCCAGUUUGGGAGAGCGCGCCCACGCGGACCCGAUGGCAGGACAGGUCAUGAGACAGCUGAGCCGAUGAAAUCAUGGAGCCUGCGCCGAGGUCGGACACGGAACGGUUGGGACUUCAUGGUGAUGGAGAGUUGCCUGCCCGAAUCCAUGAUGUCCUGCACUGUAGCUGAAACCACAAGACCUCUGGCCUUUUUGUCUGGGAGCCCUCUAGCCAACAGUCACUGCCAUUUUCUUCUAAUAGGACUGACUGAGACUCAGCCUCAAGCCCGAAAUGAUCAAGAAUGGACAGGUGAAAACUUAGAGGCCAAGAGGUGGCCUUUAUUCUAAACCUUGUUAUCCAUUCUGGUUCCACAAAGGGAUAUGAAAAUAUUCCCAACUUUAACAGUCUCUUCUCAAAGGUCAACUUUUGCCAUAUAAAAAUAUGCCUUUAAACAUUAGAGCCAAGCCAGCGCACAGCAAGCUGUCGGCUGGUCCAAAGAGUAGUGGGCACACUGAUGUCAGCACAUCUCAUUCACGCUUUUCCAGAUCCCCCAAACAGGGGAAAGGCAAACAGGCUGUAAUUUCUGCACCGGGCUCCCGCUCGGGGCUAGAACCAGGCUCCGUGUCAGGGAGUGGGCCUGCACCAGCGUCUAAAUUGGCUGGAGGUCAAGGGUCGGUGUCAAGGCCAGGUUCAAAGAUCAAACCCGGCACAGCAGCAGACAAAGGAGCAACUCGUGGUUCAGCGACAGCUCCAGGGGGUAAAACCCUAUCUAUGGAGAACAUCCAGUCUUUGAGUGCUGCCUAUGCAACUUCAGGCACCAUGUACCCCUGUGAGCGAGAUUCCUUGGAACCCUCUGGCGGGUAUCCCAAAGGCACCAUGACGCUGGGCAGGAGCACCAGCCGCUCCUCCUACACUAACCGAACAACGGCCAUGGGCAGCACCCCAAACAUCACCUCCUCUGGCCUCCAUCCCCCUUCAGACCCCUACGGAGACCAAACCUUGCACCCUGCAACGACUUCCAGUCUGCGGCGCCAGUCUGGGAGACAUCUACAGGCCCCUGAUUCGGCUGGACGCGAAGACGCUCCCUCGUUUGAGCUCCAGUCUCAGCUGAGGGAGCUGCAGAGGGAGAAUGACAGCCUGAGGAGAGAACUGGAUGUAGGGAGGGACGGAAGGACGGGCCCCAGCAUGAACAAUGUCAACUUCUGGAGCCCAGAUGUGAAAAGAGACAAGGGGGUUAGGCGGGAGGAUGGGGGGAGGACCUCGGUUUUGAAGGACCAGUACAGGACUAAUCAAGACGACUCGCAGCCUGGGGAUAUAAGAAGAAACAAGCAGCUUCCGUUGACAGUUCAGGAGCUUCAGGAGGAGCUGAAGGCUCACAGAGAGAUGAACAGUCGCUUGCAGCAACAGCGACAGCAGGGGAACUCCGGCUCCUAUCGAGAACUUCAUACAAACCAGGACCACAGAGGGGGGCUCAGCCCCGGCCACAGCCCCAGACAAAGCUCCAGCAACCUGCACAGUCCUGGGCCAAAGAAUAGCCCGAGAGCCAGCCCAUCCAACACCUACAGUCCCAGGCAACAGGAAGCUGAUGUCAUCAUUCACAGCCCUGGUUAUGGCUGUAACACUGCAGUAGCUGCGCAGAGAAUCAGCCCUGCCAACACCCUUCAGCCUGGGCCGAAGAACAGCUCAAAUCAGCCCUUCUACACUCCUAGCCAAGGUUCGGUGGUAGCACCCAGCUCUGGUUCACUCCGGCCCUGCAGCCCCUGCCAGGUGCCUGGGUGUGAGGGCUUCUCCUCGCCUCCUCCUCUGGAUCCAUCAGAGGAGAAUUUCUUCCGGCUCCAGUCGGAGCACGAGCGGCAGGCCAAGGAGCUGUUCCUGCUGAGGAAGACCAUGGAAGAGAUGGAGAUGAGAAUCGAUUCUCAGAAACACACUCUGGGUGCCCGGGACGAGAGCAUCCAGAGGCUGCUGGAGAUGCUUCAGGGCCAAGGUCAAGGCCAUGGUCAAGUUCAGGGGACCUGGGGUCGAGGACAGCGGACAGGCAUCAUAACCAUGGCGGCGCAGGAGGCCGAAGCGCAGCUGGAGAACAUGCACGUGAGAGAGAACACCAACUCCCCUUUCUGUUUUGAUCCUGAUGUUAUCUGGCAGGACACCAAGAUCUCUUCCCUGGAGAGGAACAUCAGAGACAUGGAGGAUGAGGUCCAGAUGUUAAAGACCAGCGGCCUGCUGCACCCUGACGAAAGGCAGGAUGAGUUCAAGCAGGUGGAGGUCUACAAGAGCCAUUCUAAAUUCAUGAAGACUAAGAUUGAGCAGCAGAAGCAGGAGCUGAACAGGAAGGAGUCAGAGAUGCAGGCCCUUCAGACCAAACUUGAAACACUGACCAAUCAGAACUCCGACUGCAAGCAACACAUUGAGGUGUUAAAAGAGUCGCUCAGCGCCAAGGAGCAGCGGGCCAAUACACUGCAGACAGAGGUUGACGCUCUGCGAGUGCGUCUGGAGGAGAAGGAGCAGUUCCUGACCAAGAAGACCAAGCAGCUGCAGGACCUGACCGAUGAGAAGAGCACUCUGACUGGAGAGAUCAGAGACAUGAAGGACAUGCUGGAUGUCAAGGAGAGGAAGGUUAAUGUCCUGCAGAAGAAGAUUGAGAACCUGUUGGAGCAGUUAAAGGAUAAGGACAAACAACUGGUUGGGUUGAGGGAAAGGGUCCAGGGCCUUCAGACUGACUCCAGCAACACAGACACAGCGCUGGCCACACUGGAGGAAGCUCUAUCAGAAAAGGAGCGAGUAAUUGAGAGUCUGCGUGAGCAGAAGGAGCGGGAAGACAGGGUUCGGCUGGAGGAGCUGGAACAGAUGAGAAAGGAGAACCAGGUUUUAAAGGACAAACUUUCAGCCCUGCAGCCCCAGAAACUGUCCCAGAGUCAGCCUGCUAACUCCGUCCUGACUCAGAACCAGAGGCCUGAUGGAGCGGUUCCAGCCAAAGUAGAAAGGCCUCCAGCAGGAAGCCCCAUGACCCAAAACACGGAAGAAACAGUCCGGAAGUGUCCAGACAUCACAGAUCGUCUAAGGCUUCUGGAGCAGGAAGUAGCUCGCAACAAAGAGGAAUCUGGGAAGUCACAAUUGGAAGUUGAGAGGCUAAUGGCAGCUCUAAGGGAUGCUGAGAUGGACAAAUUGUGCAAGGAGAAGAAAAUCGCUGAUCUUGAGAGACCUGGGCAAGUGAAGUCUCCUAACAUCCAGAAGCAGACAAUGGUUGGUGAGAUGAGGAAAGAUGCCCAUACUGACGGACAUGCACACUCUUUGUCGCAGCCCUGUCAGUUUCCUCUUUCAGCUUCCCAGGAUGCCAUGCGGGAGACGGCUGAGGGGAUCAGGGAGCUGGAGAGGGCACUGAGGGAGAGCAUGAACACCUCCGCACAUAGGGAGGCUCUCUGGGUGCAAGAGGAGACUGCCCGUGUUCAGGCUCAGAGACAGUUGGAGGAGCUGAUGGGGGCUUUAGAGAAGACACGCCAGGAGCUGGACGCCACCAAACUGCAUCUGUCCUCCACUCAGCAGUCCUUGCACGAGAGAGACGGACACCUUAAUAGUCUUCGCCAGGAGAGACGCAAACAGCUGGAGGAGAUUCUGGAGAUGAAGCAGCAGGCUUUGUUGGCAGCCAUCAGUGAGAAGGAUGCUAACAUUGCCCUGCUGGAGUUAUCCUCCUCCAAAAGGAAAAAAGCCCAGGAAGAAGUGAUGGCCCUGAAGAGGGAGAAAGACAAACUCAUGCACCAGCUCAAACAGCAGACUCAGAGCAGAAUGAAGCUGAUAGCGGAUAACUACGAGGAAGAUCACAUUCACCCUCAACAUCAUCCUCACCAUUCUCACCACUUGCAUCCAGCAAACAUGCAUCACCGAAGCCUGCCAAGAGGGCCCCCCCAUGCUAACCACCGACCCCCUAUGGAUCAGGUCAAUAUGAAUGUGGACACACACACACACACACACACACAUGCAGACAUAUACCCAGUUUGAACUUGUUUACACAAGCAGACAUGUUUUGGGCUCUCAUUUUCAUGUUUUUUUAAGUUGGUGCAAUAUUAUAUUUGUCAUCUCCACCGCCAGUCAGUUGUGGUUGGACUCGGCAGCAUAAAAUUUCCCUUCUCUCUUCUCUCUCAACCCCAUUACUUCCUGCCAAGUCAGUUAUUCAUAUCAUUUAGAUAAGAGGCAUGAAGGGAAAAGCUGCCAAAUAAGUGUUUUUGAUCGAUGGGAUUUGUGUGUGAGAUUAGUUUAUACAUCAUUCAUCUCUCAUAUGAGCUCCUUCUCUCUGUCUGCGUAUCAUAUACAGACUGCCCUGAGGACAGACUUAAUGUGUCUGUUUGAAGGAAGCUGAAGAGAACUGUUGUUGUCAUCAGCGCAAAGUGUUUGAGAUGUACGUGCCUGUACGUGUGCGUGUUUAGAGGCACAUGGAGGUGCACAUCUGAGUCUUUGUUGAUACAAGAUUAAAUCACGAACAGGGAAGGCAAUCUUCAAAGAAGGACAGACGAUCUCACUGUCUUUCCAUUAGCUAAUAAAAGCUUUUAGUUAUUUCAAUGCAAUAUAAACUCAUCACAGCUCUAUUGUUGUCAAGAGGUUGUGAUUGGGGGGAUUCCAAACUAGGAAGAUGAAGUGUGUGUGUGUAUGUAAUGUUUGGGGAUUUAAGAGCAAUACCUGGGGAUUUCCACUUCAGUUCUAUCUGAUAUGCACUAAUAUACGUUUAUAGACUUUAUGAAUGUUUCUGAAACUGCUGCCUAAAUUGGAGUGAAACAUGCACUGGGGAUCCCCACACACGCACAUGUAUAAAACCACACAAUCAUAUACAUGCAACACACCACACAUACCGUAGCAAUAUGUAAGAGGACAGGGUAGCUGGUUUUAAUAUUCUUUUAGUCUUUCACGCCUGUGGAAAAACUCUAUUUUUGAUUCCUAAAAGAAUGUGAGUGUCUGGGGUUGAUUGACAUCCAUAUGCAUACUUUUCAUGCAGAAUCUCAUACAACAGGGUAUAUUUAUUUGAACAUUUGCAUCCUUUCCAACUACAGAAUUAAUCUACAUCUAUUUUUGAAGCUUUUUAUGGUAUAUCAAAGUCUAGAGUGGGAAUAACAUGGAACAUAGUUUAACACUUAAAACCACCCUUUAAUCCUACAAGGACCACUUUCAAAUGCUAGCUGUGUAGUCAUUAGGUUAUAUUAUGUUUUGGCUUGCCAAAAUGAUAUUAUCAAGAUAUCAAGUCCCUGCUUUGUUUUAUUGUAUUGCAGAAUAAUUUGCAACAAGGGUCAGCUCCAUAUUAAAUAGUUAGCUGCAGGGGGUCACUUUUUAGUAUCACACAUUACUUUUCUUUACUUUGCACUUGUAAAUAUCUUUCCUUCAAAAUGGCUGCCCGGCACUACAUUACUGCAGCAGUGUUUAUAGUGUUUGACACAUAAAACAGUAGCUCUCUGCAAGCGAUAUUUAGUUUGUGCUGAAAAGCCUAGCAUAAAAAGUAUUAUUCGGGUUGCUGGGAAGUCUUGUUAAGAAUGCAGAGAGUAACAAAAUAACUCAUCAAUCUGGACAGAUUUGAAAUAUUUUUUCUAUUAAGCAUAGGUUUGAUAUAAGACAAUGCCUAACAUGUGUACAUUUGCAAAUAGUGUAUAUUUAGUCUAGUCUGCUGACACAUUGCAUUGGAACCAAAUGUCAAAAUUAAAGAUGUGUAUCAAGAUGUCAUCAUCCACUUCUGUCCACAAUCCACAGUUGAUUAUUAUUUAUCUACAUUGUUUCUCUGUUGCUCUCCCUCUUGUGUCAAGCACAUAAGCUUGAGAAACAUCAGACUCUUUUGACAGAGAUCAGCCAAUAACCUCAUGGCUUUUCCUCGUAUCUGAUCUUUGACCUCAUGGGGAAGUUCGGCAGAGGUCACAGACGAUGAAGAGGGAAUAUGGGCAUGAUGACCAUCUUCAUGGAUACCCUGCAUCCAUUUGUCCACAGUGAGUUUAUAUUGUUAGAUUUUUCUACUAAUUUUAGAGUUAAUGCACUCUUUCCCAGGGUGUAGUACUGUAUAGCAGCUCCAGAUAUUUUAACGAUCCUCUACACAAUAGGCUUCUUCAGUGGGCUCAAGUAACCAUUAGCCAGGAACAUUGAUGGCACCACAAUAACCACAGAAUUACCCAAGUCUGAGAGAAGAGAGUGUAAUAGAAGCCGGCUUCUUUUCCCAUUACUUAUGAAUUCCAGUCAACUAAAGCCUCAGUUGAUUCAGAGGUUUAUGGCUGUCUUUCUAUGAAGUGCUCAUAUGCUAGUUGUGCCGCAUGCUGUGCGUGUACUCUGUGGCUAUAGGUAACUGUGUGGUAUUACUAAACCAAUGCAAACCCAGCAGCCUAAAGUGAAUGUACCAGGGCCCAUAGGUGAUAAAAACGACACAAUGAGAAAAACCAGAGAUGGAUGGGUCUCUCUCUGCCCACCUCAUUUUUUCAGACGUAGUCGUAGUUUUACCGUGCUUCCCCACCCUGUUGGUGCCAGUGUGUGGAGUAAUUUAGACAAUACGACACAGAACAGUCAUGAAACCUUUUUUUAAGGAUGCAAGCUGAAAAAACAUAAAAUGAAGAAUGCAGAGUCAUAAAGGAUAAUUCCUGCUUUGGGGGUUUUAUAUCAAAGCCCCCCCACAGACACAGGAUGCCUUUGAACGCAGACGUGUGGAAAGAGGUCUGUGCAAUGAGGCUGAUGGUGUGUGUGUAGGACAAAGAGAGGCAGCGAAAAAUAGAGACAUGUAAAUGUACAUAUCAGAGAUAGAGAAACACAGACAAAGAAAAGAGAGGGAAAGAUGGAGAGUGCUUAUGUAUCUGUGUGGGAAUGAGAGCGAGAGAGAGAAAACCAGACAGCAUUGUAUACUCAUAGUUUCCAGUGCAUCUCAUUCUUUUCCCCCAGUAAUCCACAGGUGGACCAUCACAAGAAGACUCUGUCUCUAACCUCAAUGACUUAGUAGUUGUGCACUUUGCCCUAGUGCUGCUUUUGGGAUUAAGAGUCCUAUAGCAAAUGGUUUGUGUUCCUGCAGUGCAAAGCUUUAGUGUGUUUAGCUAUUAUGUUUGUGUGUACAUUUGCAAGUGUGUGUGUGUGCGUGUGUGUGUGCAAAAGAGCGUUGCUGAGCUAUACAGUGCCGGAGCAGCCCACAUAGCCUAUAAUCCAGUCCAUGUGUGCUGAGAAUGCAGCAGUGUCAGGAUUCACCGUAAUGAAACAGACCACACUGCCCCCUUUCUCCCUCUCUUUCCAUCUCUCCAUCUCUUUUCCAUCACUCCUGUUCUUUCCACCUCUUGCUAGUUUUUCGCUUGCCCAGCUCUAACGUAUCGUACUUCAAGGUAAACCUAGAGCUGGAUCCGUGACUAGCCUACUGCUUCGGUAUCUCCAAUCAGAUAUUGUGAUGGUGCGUGUUUGCACGUGUGUGUGUGUGUGUGUGUGUAUGCAUGUGCGUAUUAGUGCUUCUUAUCCCGAUCUAAUAGAAUAAGCCAGGCACAUUAGCCUUUAGCACAGAAUGGUGUUGUGGCUAGCGAUAUCAGUGCUGCUCAUCUAUCCACUGCUGUUAUUCUGGCAGUGCACAAUGCGAGCACAGCUAACGUGUAUUAGCCAUUCUCAAUGGGAGAACAGAUGGGAGCCAUUUAGCGGUGUGUAGCUACAGCGCAAUAAGGCCAGACCUAAUCCCCAUAUCCUGUCCCUGAGUGAGCCCUCUCUAAUAUGAGCAAACAGAGAUGACAGCACCGAUAGACAAAUAAUGGGAUCUGUGUGUAUGUGUGUGUAUUGAUGUCUUUGCAGACAUGCAUGCUUUGAUUGGUGUUCCUCAUGGAUAACCUUGACUCCCAGUGCUCAGCUACAUUUUGAAUUCCACACAAAACCUAAGUGCUGAGUUGAAGUUGGCAAGUUCAAGUUCUGAGCUUCCAGGUGUGGAUUUGUAUUGGUUAGCCAUGGUUCUCUCUAAAAGGACACUGGUGCUCUGAUUGGCUCAUUGUGGUUGUGUAUGUCCUGCUGUUGAUUACAGAGGUUUUGUUUACCCUCUUGGCCUCCCAGACCCCCCUCUAAUGAAAUAAGAAUGUCCACUUGGACAGAGAGUACAAGAGAAGGGGGUUGGAGGAAAAAGUAAAGGAGAACAUGGGGCCAAAAGAGUGAAGCAAAGUGGGGGGGGGGAGGUUUUCUGGAAACAUUAUGCUUUUAUCCCACCGUGAAGUUAUUUGUACUGAAUGAAGCGAAAAGAAGUUGAGAGGCUUUCCAAGUGGGGACAGAAAUAUGUUUGUGUACGUGUGUGUGUGUGUGUGUGUGCGAGUGUGCGUGCAAGCAGGAAGGAGUGAGGCCUUGUUCAGGUCAAAACAAGUCAAGAAGAUGGCUUUCAUUUGCCCAUGCUGUGUUUGCACUAAAUACAGUGUUUGUAUAUCUACAUUGUGUCUGCCAGUAAGUAUCUAUAUGCGCAGGGAAAAGUCUAGAAAAGUUCAGUGGGAAACUGAAAUUGGAGAGCAGAUUGUCAAUCCAAUGUACUAUUUUAAAAUACAAUUAAGUGAAAGUUACAUUUUUUUUAUGUGGGGUUGUAUGAGGUACUCAUCCAUAGUCAGUGGUUUUCCUACAGUAGAUGUAGCAGCAAAAUGUUUUCGCCACCUGAAAAAAAGCCUUAAAAAAAGCCUUCCUUGAAAAUGUAUAUCAGUCAAAGUGUAUGCUGUAUUUAGAUAUUUUCACUGCCUUACCUUGUUGUCAGACAGCCCGUUCUGACAGGAAACUGAAGCCGUUUUCUAUUGUAUGACUUUGUUGAAUCCAAACUAACCGUUUAAAACACUAAAGUUGUGAAAAGCAGAAAAAUAAAGUGUGAAAAAAAAAAAUAAAACACUAAAGUCGCUCAAUAACACAAACAAACCAAAAACUCUGUUUUUGUCAAAAGAGUCUGUUGGCUUUGGCGUGAGCAUAGUUAUUGGCAUCUGUUACCUGUCGGAAAGAGCUGUCGGACAGCAAGAUAAAGAUAUUAUAAAUAAUUUCAUAAUUUACAAUAAAUAAGUAUUUCAAGUGGUUAAAAUAUGUUUUGCUGCUGCCUUACAUAUGAUUUGAUAUUAUGCAGUGAGCCAUUCAUCUGCUAUUUCCUGUAUCUCGCAAUUCUGGUGGUAUUGUAGCGUUCCUACAGUGUUUUCUGUCUGAUAUCCCUUUUUUUUGCUUUUCAAUUAUGCUUGAUUUUAUGAUGAAUUUAGUUGAUAUCAAUGAGUAGGUUGUAUACUGUAACUUGCAGAAUAUAUAUAACGUAAAUAUGUAUCCCAUUUUGAAUCAGUGCCAGCAGAAUCUUUUUCAGAUAGUUGGUUCAACAGCUACUGCAAAGAUGAAAAGAAAAGAAAAAUGUGGUGUGCAGACGUAUGUUUUUUGCAAGCCCUGCAGGGUGUUCUUCUAAUUUAUACCUAAAUUGUUUUCCAAAAGGCCCUUUUUAUUAAUUUGAAUUCUUCAUUUGCAGGUAAGCCAGUAUGAAAUGGAGAACGAUCGCAUUUAAAACGGGAAAUUUACUUGUAUUUUUAGUUUAGUUUGACUGAAUAAUUAAUUAGAAUUGAACCAAGCUUAAAAAAGAAAAAUGCAGAACUAGUAAAAAACAUAUAUUUGUUUUGCUGUGUAUGUGAAAGUGACAGUAAUAGAGAAAUAGUUCAGUGAGUUGUAUUUGAGGUGGGUGCAAAACUUCACGGGCAGCAUAUCUAACUUUAUCCAUAAUCUAGUCAAAUUGUUGACAGUAAGAAUGGUAUGGCUUUAUGAAUAUUGAGAUUACUCUUCUAUGUGUUCUCUUAUCUUCAGGUUGUUAAUGAAACCUCAAAACCACCCUCACAGUGGAUAUAAUUGAUAUUGGAGAAAAAGAACAUGACAGUAUUGACUGUGGGAAAUUACUGCACCUCUCAUUGUCUACAAUUUUAUAAUUGCGAUGAUGGCAGUUUACAACUCAGACGUGUCUGUCUUUUAAUGACACCAUGUUCACAUUCCUCUAAACAGCAAACAAAAUGCCAUGACAUUUAAUUCAAGGUUGUCUUUGAAAGAAAAGUCUGCCAGCGACAUCAUGGUCGAGCCGGCUCUGCCACUUUUUCUGCACUUUGUGCCAGGAUGAAUCUCCAGUGUAAACAACUAUCACCCCACGCAUUAAUUACUGUAAGGUGACGGCACAUAUUUUUGUAAAGGCCCCAUGUUAUCAACACUUAGUAAGUCUUUAUUAAUAAAUCAAUUGGUUUCACUCUGGAUUUUCUAGACAUUCAGGAGUUUAGUCUACAUCUGCAUCUGCACGCCUGUGCACGUGUUCACACAUACUUGUGUGGGCAUUUGGAUAAUGUUUGGGUAAGUAUCUCCUCACACAUGUGCUAAGCCGUGCUGUGCAGUAUGUCUUUGGUGACCAGUGAACCACAGCUCGCAGGUCAGUAGAGGCGUCUGACCGAGGCCAUCCCUCAGCCAGCUGUCAGCAUCAUCAGUCUAUGAGGUCAAAGGUUGUUCCACCAGAUUGAACAUGAGUGGAGAGAAGUCGAUAACUCAGCAACACCUGAGCAACAACAUCUGGGUGCGCUCUAUGUUGUAUCUAUUUCAGUCCAUCCUGAAACAACACCUGAGUUAUUUUCCAAAAGGCCCUUUUCUUGUGAAGGUGCAACGUGCUGUUGCACCUCUGUAUACAGAGCACAGAGCCAAGACUAAAGGCAGCAGUUGCUGAAAACGAACAAAAUAUUAAACGUGCUUAAUUUUUACUCAUCAGUACAAUAGUUGAUACAUGUUUAGAAAACCCAUUUUCCCUGAAGUAGGGCAGGAAUUUUGCAUUCUGCAGCAAAUUCGAAAACCCCGUUUGCGAAAAGGGAGGGUUUUUUUUUGGUGUGAGAUAGAAGACAGUUGCUCGCUAAGACAAAGCCAUCAAAUGUGUGCUCAACCGUGAACUGUAUGCUACCUAAUACAAACAGCACAGUUUAAAUUGAUGAAAACAACUUACCCGAAAUCUAAAGUACUGCACCAAUUUGCCUCCAGGCCUACUGUUUUCUGUUCAGAUCAUGGUAACUACGGUUUGAACCCGAGAUUUCGGGGCGGUCUUGCAAAAACGUGGGAUGCACAGAGUGGAAAAUUGGGAAGUGCUCCGCAACGCGCAGAACGCUUCACUCUCAUUGAAAAACAAUUACAAAAAGCCGUGUUGGGCUGCUAAAAUGCAUUCUGUCCGAUCAGGGUCUUAAUCAUCUUGAAUAAUUGUUAUACUGUGGCAUCAUGAUUAAUUUCACAAUGACGUAUUGCUUUUUUAAAAUGCCUUGCAAAUUAAUACCGUUAACUAGGUGAAUGAAGAGCGGUGAUAGAGUUGCUUUGUCACUGUCGAUGUAUGAAGCUGUAGACAGACAGGAUCCAGAGAUGCUUCUUCAGCCCCAGCUGACAGAGGAGGAGGAGGUUGGGGAAGGAGGUAGGAGGGAAAGAUGGACUGGCAAUGUCGUGAGGCAGACAAGUUUAUUCCUGUUUUUUGUGGUUUUCUUGAAUUUAUACGCUGGAGAGGACAGUUAGACACCUGAUGUGUGGAUCAUAAGGCAGUUUGUCUGAGUAAGCUCUUUUUCCCCACCCACAACACACUCAUUACACACGCAGAGACAUGGCCACACACACAAUCGCUCGUGCUAUGCUGCAAAUUUGCAAGAGCAAAUACUUAAGUUGUAAGCAGUUUUGUUCAGGCAAUCCAGUUGAUGGGGGGAACCACAACAAACCGUCUUAGGAGCUUAACAGCCAGUUAAUUGUUAAGGGCUCACCUCAGCUGACCAUAACAUAUCUGCUAUCCACUUGAGAGCGGAGAUGAUGGAAGUGAUUCUGAGUCUUCUAACACUGUAUUCAAAAGUGACAAGCCUUUUUCUCAUCCAAGCCAACCAAGGGGGACCAAAAUGGGAUUUGUCGUAUGGCCGCUGAUGGUUGCCGGAGUCAGCAUCCCCUUGCAGCCACAGUGGGCCAUGAGCCUAGAUAUUACCACUGGUCACGCUGUCCAUUGCCCCAGGGUUAUUUCAGUUGCACUUUUUAAAAUGAGUUUUUCUUUAAUAUUUUUCAAGGAUUUCAUUUUAUUAGCAGUUUAGUUCCGUUUUUUUUUAAGUAUCAACUUUUAGGUGAAUUUAGAGUAAAAAUGUAACAUUAAACCAGAUAGGGCAUUUUUUACUUUUUGUCAAGCUCGUCGCAGGACCUUUUGAAGAUUGUAUUUUAUACUGUCUGGUCGACAUCCCUAAUCCCCGGUGCUGCCUCUCUCUCAUUGUGAACUGGGCUCAGUGCUCAGUGCUCUGACCUCUCUAGCUUUUUUAAAGCAUUAAGGUAGUUAAGUGUUUCUCAAAGUCAGUGUUGUUCGACGUUAUUCGUUCAAGUGCACAAACAUGCCUGCCAGAAGACAAUAAGCACUUACUUUUCUUUCUCUAGUAUGUAAUUGAAAUGACGCUGCAGAGCUUUCUCAUUUAUGACCACUAAUUCACUGGCUCAGGUUCAUAAUCUCAAAAAUGUGGCAACUGCUGUAACAUUAACCCUCAAAAAUGGCUUUAUCCUGAUUGGCUGGGCAUAUAUAUAUAUGCACAUUUACAUGGCAUGGAUGUGUGAUUACCUUACCUAAAUUAUAAUCAUUGUAACAUCAAUGUUUGAUACGUUAUGUCCAUAAGCUGAAAUAGUUUUACUAAACCACCUCAUCUUCCCUUCUCUGUCUGAACAUGCCAGGUGUGAUUCAGUCUGUCUGUAAACUCUGGUUUGCUCUCUGUGCAGAAAUGGCCCAGCCAGCCCACAGUCAUAAAUCAGUACACCUCAAGCUGUAGCUAUUUUUCAUCUCUCUCUCCCUCCCUCCCCUUUUCCCCUCUGUUUUCCCCUCAUCUCCAUUGCUUCUCCAAAUGCCACUGCCACAAGAAACAUUCAAGUAUUUUGUGGCAUACUGACAUAGACCAAGAUUAGAAAUGCAGAUCUUAACAUUGUCGUGAAUCUGUGGGAUAUUGGGGUCCAAAUGGGAAAACAUAUUUAUUAUUUCAAUGUCUAAAGCAAGUUCCUACUGUGCAGCCAGUUGUGUGUGAGAGAGAGCGAGUGUGUGUGUAUGUGUGUGUGUGUGUGUGUGUGUGUGUGUGUGUGUGUGUGUGUGUGUGAAAGAAAGAUCAAGAGAGAGAGAGAGAAAGGGAGAGAGAGAUUGGUGGGAUUAUAAGGGUGUU